rnacentral:rRNA from 1 species
CAAGUCGAACGAGUUCUCGUUGAUGAUCGGUGCUUGCACCGAGAUUCAACAUGGAACGAGUGGCGGACGGGUGAGUAACACGUGGGUAACCUGCCCUUAAGUGGGGGAUAACAUUUGGAAACAGAUGCUAAUACCGCAUAGAUCCAAGAACCGCAUGGUUCUUGGCUGAAAGAUGGCGUAAGCUAUCGCUUUUGGAUGGACCCGCGGCGUAUUAGCUAGUUGGUGAGGUAAUGGCUCACCAAGGCGAUGAUACGUAGCCGAACUGAGAGGUUGAUCGGCCACAUUGGGACUGAGACACGGCCCAAACUCCUACGGGAGGCAGCAGUAGGGAAUCUUCCACAAUGGACGCAAGUCUGAUGGAGCAACGCCGCGUGAGUGAAGAAGGCUUUCGGGUCGUAAAACUCUGUUGUUGGAGAAGAAUGGUCGGCAGAGUAACUGUUGUCGGCGUGACGGUAUCCAACCAGAAAGCCACGGCUAACUACGUGCCAGCAGCCGCGGUAAUACGUAGGUGGCAAGCGUUAUCCGGAUUUAUUGGGCGUAAAGCGAGCGCAGGCGGUUUUUUAAGUCUGAUGUGAAAGCCCUCGGCUUAACCGAGGAAGCGCAUCGGAAACUGGGAAACUUGAGUGCAGAAGAGGACAGUGGAACUCCAUGUGUAGCGGUGAAAUGCGUAGAUAUAUGGAAGAACACCAGUGGCGAAGGCGGCUGUCUGGUCUGUAACUGACGCUGAGGCUCGAAAGCAUGGGUAGCGAACAGGAUUAGAUACCCUGGUAGUCCAUGCCGUAAACGAUGAAUGCUA